rnacentral:tRNA from 1 species
UAUAUCUAAGUGUAAAUGCAUUUAAAAAUUUGAAUUUUAAGGUACUAAAAAAAUUAGUAGAUAUAU